AUAACCUCUCAUUCGCACUACCUUGUCUAAGUUCAAUUACCUUAUCAAGAUAUUGACUAGAUCUGUUAAUCUAUGUAACACCCAAAUUUUUGAAGAAUUCAAAUUCAUUAAAAUUUGCUCAAAUUAGGAUGUCAUUUAAAUUCUAGGCAUUUAAUUUUAUUUUCUUUAAAUUUAAUUAAUUCAUCAUAGGAGUUUAUUGUGCAUUCAUGCUGGUGCAUUUAUUUUUGGUUGCUUGAGUUUGAAUCAAAUUUGAAUUUCAAAUUCAAAUUCACUUUUCAAAACCUUUUUCUUUUCCCUUUAUCUUUUUCUUUUCCUUCUUCUCCUCCUGGGCCGCAUUCUCCUUUCUCCCCUUUCU
rnacentral:lncRNA from 1 species